rnacentral:rRNA from 1 species
UUUAAUUGAAGAGUUUGAUCAUGGCUCAGAUUGAACGCUGGCGGCAGGCCUAACACAUGCAAGUCGAGCGGUAACAGAAAGUAGCUUGCUAC